UACGGGGGGGGCAAGCGUUGUUCGGAAUUACUGGGCGUAAAGGGCUCGUAGGCGGCCAACUAAGUCAGACGUGAAAUCCCUCGGCUUAACCGGGGAACUGCAUCUGAUACUGGAUGGCUUGAGAUUGGGAGAGGGAUGCGGAAUUCCAGGUGUAGCGGUGAAAUGCGUAGAUAUCCGGAGGAACACCGGUGGCGAAGGCGGCAUCCUGGACCAACACUGACGCUGAGGAGCGAAAGCCAGGGGAGCAAACGGG
rnacentral:rRNA from 1 species